rnacentral:rRNA from 1 species
AGCGUACACGGUGGAUGCCCUGGCAGUCAGAGGCGAUGAAGGACGUGCUAAUCUGCGAUAAGCGUCGGUAAGGUGAUAUGAACCGUUAUAACCGGCGAUUUCCGAAUGGGGAAACCCAGUGUGAUUCGUCACACUAUCAUUAACUGAAUCCAUAGGUUAAUGAGGCGAACCGGGGGAACUGAAACAUCUAAGUACCCCGAGGAAAAGAAAUCAACCGAGAUUCCCCCAGUAGCGGCGAGCGAACGGGGAGCAGCCCAGAGCCUGAAUCAGUGUGUGUGUUAGUGGAAGCGUCUGGAAAGGCGCGCGAUACAGGGUGACAGCCCCGUACACAAAAAUGCACAUAUUGUGAGCUCGAUGAGUAGGGCGGGACACGUGGUAUCCUGUCUGAAUAUGGGGGGACCAUCCUCCAAGGCUAAAUACUCCUGACUGACCGAUAGUGAACCAGUACCGUGAGGGAAAGGCGAAAAGAACCCCGGCGAGGGGAGUGAAAAAGAACCUGAAACCGUGUACGUACAAGCAGUGGGAGCCUCUUUAUGGGGUGACUGCGUACCUUUUGUAUAAUGGGUCAGCGACUUAUAUUCUGUAGCAAGGUUAACCGAAUAGGGGAGCCGAAGGGAAACCGAGUCUUAACUGGGCGUUAAGUUGCAGGGUAUAGACCCGAAACCCGGUGAUCUAGCCAUGGGCAGGUUGAAGGUUGGGUAACACUAACUGGAGGACCGAACCGACUAAUGUUGAAAAAUUAGCGGAUGACUUGUGGCUGGGGGUGAAAGGCCAAUCAAACCGGGAGAUAGCUGGUUCUCCCCGAAAGCUAUUUAGGUAGCGCCUCGUGAAUUCAUCUCCGGGGGUAGAGCACUGUUUCGGCAAGGGGGUCAUCCCGACUUACCAACCCGAUGCAAACUGCGAAUACCGGAGAAUGUUAUCACGGGAGACACACGGCGGGUGCUAACGUCCGUCGUGAAGAGGGAAACAACCCAGACCGCCAGCUAAGGUCCCAAAGUCAUGGUUAAGUGGGAAACGAUGUGGGAAGGCCCAGACAGCCAGGAUGUUGGCUUAGAAGCAGCCAUCAUUUAAAGAAAGCGUAAUAGCUCACUGGUCGAGUCGGCCUGCGCGGAAGAUGUAACGGGGCUAAACCAUGCACCGAAGCUGCGGCAGCGACGCUUAUGCGUUGUUGGGUAGGGGAGCGUUCUGUAAGCCUGUGAAGGUGUGCUGUGAGGCAUGCUGGAGGUAUCAGAAGUGCGAAUGCUGACAUAAGUAACGAUAAAGCGGGUGAAAAGCCCGCUCGCCGGAAGACCAAGGGUUCCUGUCCAACGUUAAUCGGGGCAGGGUGAGUCGACCCCUAAGGCGAGGCCGAAAGGCGUAGUCGAUGGGAAACAGGUUAAUAUUCCUGUACUUGGUGUUACUGCGAAGGGGGGACGGAGAAGGCUAUGUUGGCCGGGCGACGGUUGUCCCGGUUUAAGCGUGUAGGCUGGUUUUCCAGGCAAAUCCGGAAAAUCAAGGCUGAGGCGUGAUGACGAGGCACUACGGUGCUGAAGCAACAAAUGCCCUGCUUCCAGGAAAAGCCUCUAAGCAUCAGGUAACAUCAAAUCGUACCCCAAACCGACACAGGUGGUCAGGUAGAGAAUACCAAGGCGCUUGAGAGAACUCGGGUGAAGGAACUAGGCAAAAUGGUGCCGUAACUUCGGGAGAAGGCACGCUGAUAUGUAGGUGAAGUCCCUCGCGGAUGGAGCUGAAAUCAGUCGAAGAUACCAGCUGGCUGCAACUGUUUAUUAAAAACACAGCACUGUGCAAACACGAAAGUGGACGUAUACGGUGUGACGCCUGCCCGGUGCCGGAAGGUUAAUUGAUGGGGUCAGCGCAAGCGAAGCUCUUGAUCGAAGCCCCGGUAAACGGCGGCCGUAACUAUAACGGUCCUAAGGUAGCGAAAUUCCUUGUCGGGUAAGUUCCGACCUGCACGAAUGGCGUAAUGAUGGCCAGGCUGUCUCCACCCGAGACUCAGUGAAAUUGAACUCGCUGUGAAGAUGCAGUGUACCCGCGGCAAGACGGAAAGACCCCGUGAACCUUUACUAUAGCUUGACACUGAACAUUGAGCCUUGAUGUGUAGGAUAGGUGGGAGGCUUUGAAGUGUGGACGCCAGUCUGCAUGGAGCCGACCUUGAAAUACCACCCUUUAAUGUUUGAUGUUCUAACGUUGACCCGUGAUCCGGGUUGCGGACAGUGUCUGGUGGGUAGUUUGACUGGGGCGGUCUCCUCCUAAAGAGUAACGGAGGAGCACGAAGGUUGGCUAAUCCUGGUCGGACAUCAGGAGGUUAGUGCAAUGGCAUAAGCCAGCUUGACUGCGAGCGUGACGGCGCGAGCAGGUGCGAAAGCAGGUCAUAGUGAUCCGGUGGUUCUGAAUGGAAGGGCCAUCGCUCAACGGAUAAAAGGUACUCCGGGGAUAACAGGCUGAUACCGCCCAAGAGUUCAUAUCGACGGCGGUGUUUGGCACCUCGAUGUCGGCUCAUCACAUCCUGGGGCUGAAGUAGGUCCCAAGGGUAUGGCUGUUCGCCAUUUAAAGUGGUACGCGAGCUGGGUUUAGAACGUCGUGAGACAGUUCGGUCCCUAUCUGCCGUGGGCGCUGGAGAACUGAGGGGGGCUGCUCCUAGUACGAGAGGACCGGAGUGGACGCAUCACUGGUGUUCGGGUUGUCAUGCCAAUGGCACUGCCCGGUAGCUAAAUGCGGAAGAGAUAAGUGCUGAAAGCAUCUAAGCACGAAACUUGCCCCGAGAUGAGUUCUCCCUGACUCCUUGA